rnacentral:miRNA from 1 species
AAAAUCAUACAUACAAAGGUAGAAGCAGAUUUUGCAAUUAAGUUUCUUACUCUUAAAAAAGGAAAUAAAAGUAUUUCCUUUUCUUUUCCUUCCUUUGUAAGAGUAAGAAACUUAAUUGUGAAAUCUGCUGCUACCUUUGUAUGUAUGAUUUU